GGGUUGGCAGACGUGAGAAGAAGCGAAGAUGGCGGAGUGAGGAGCGCCUCGGCCAUUCGGCCGUUUGGCCUCUGGGCCGGGGGCGUGCAGGCCCCCGGGAAGCCGACUGCGUCUGAUGGACCAUGUGAGAAUUCUUGUCACACAGGAUGAACACUUUCCUUACAUUUAGGUGCUUUUUAUUCAUCUCAAAAUUCUGAACUCAGGAUGUGGCCGGUAUUUCUAUGUUGUCUUCUAGAGCGGGUAGUCCUGCUUCUUUUAUCCAGCCACUUUCCCUACUGAAAUAUGGAUACCUUUCUACACAUUACCUCCAUGGUUUGGAUUGGAAAAGAUUGCUUUUCUUUUGUUCCACCUUUCAAAUUCAACACAGAAAGAAGCCCUUAGGGUGCAGUUAUCCUGCUGACUUCUC